ACAGCAAAUUAGCCUAGACACCUGUGAAGAUGAUGCAGAAAAUUCAGCAUGCAUGCAGUGUGGGCUGGGGAGACAAGGGCCGAAUGGUAUAGACACAGGGAGACUGAGAGACACAGAUCAUCUGGCAAAGAGAUUUGCAGAGUGUCGGGUGACCGGCAAAGAGAUCUGCAAAGUGUCAGUUGAAGACGACGGGAGGGGUCACAGAGGUAGCAACGACUGGAGUAUAACAUGAAGGAGGAAAUUUUGGUUAUUUAUAUCAUCAUUUGGCAAAGUUCUGGCAAAAAGAUUUGCAGAGUGUCGGAUGACCGGCAAAGAGAUCUGCAAAGUGUCAGUUGAAGACGACGGGAGUGGUCGCAGAGGAAUUAGUGACUGGAGAAUAGCAUGCAGGAGUCUACAUGCAGUGGGUGAUCCCUGAAUAGCUACACUGGGAGGAGAGCUGCGGACACAUGCUCCAAAUGUUGGGACAUAUGCAUUACCUUUUAGGAGAUGCGGUAAAGAUGCCGGCUGUCUGGUUUAUGGCACUGGGAUCCCGACACUCUUAAUAAUCCCGACGUUGGAACUCUGAAUGGGCAAGGAUACCGACGCCCGUAUCCCCACAAUCAUAGGUUUAUGGCUGGGCAAGGGGGGUUAGGUGUAGGCAUCAGGCAUGGGGUGGGUGGUUAGGCUACCGGAGA